GUCGAGCGGUAACAGGAAUUAGCUUGCUAAUUUGCUGACGAGCGGCGGACGGGUGAGUAACGCGUAGGAAUCUGCCUGGUAGUGGGGGACAACAUGUGGAAACGCAUGCUAAUACCGCAUACGCCCUACGGGGGAAAGGAGGGGAUCUUCGGACCUUUCGCUAUCAGAUGAGCCUGCGUGAGAUUAGCUAGUUGGUGGGGUAAAGGCUCACCAAGGCGACGAUCUCUAGCUGGUCUGAGAGGAUGAUCAGCCACACUGGGACUGAGACACGGCCCAGACUCCUACGGGAGGCAGCAGUGGGGAAUAUUGGACAAUGGGGGCAACCCUGAUCCAGCCAUGCCGCGUGUGUGAAGAAGGCCUUAGGGUUGUAAAGCACUUUCAGGAGUGAGGAAGGGUGUACGGUUAAUACCCGUAUAUUUUGACGUUAACUCCAGAAGAAGCACCGGCUAACUCUGUGCCAGCAGCCGCGGUAAUACAGAGGGUGCGAGCGUUAAUCGGAAUUACUGGGCGU
rnacentral:rRNA from 1 species